AUGACCCUGAAUCAAAGCCAGCAGUUUUCUGAAGCUGUUGGUUUCAAGCAGGAGCCUAAAGUGGUAUCUUUCUAUAGCCUAUUGGCCAUUUCAGAACUUCAGAAAUGAGUUGCUAGAAGUUGCUAGAAUUCAGA
ensembl:snoRNA